rnacentral:lncRNA from 1 species
AUACGUAAGGCACCGAUACCCUGAGACUACAAGAGCGACUAGAAGUGGAAACCGUUGGGGGAAGAGGAGGGAAUAAUUCGGCGACUGGUGAAGCUUUAAGAGACUUUUCAAUGGCGGAAUAGAGAUCUCGCGAAACAGAGGGUUCGCUUGAUGCUUCUGAUUAACAUAAACCUAUCUUCGUCCACCGGAGAAGCAGAGAGGAGAAGGAGACGCCCACAGAAGAUGAGAACACGAGAGAAAAGAAAAAAAAUGAAACUUCAUAAUAUGCUGACACGUGGUCUAAAAACCCCUCUUCAAAGCGGUCCCCAAAAUCUCAUAUUAAGGAUCGGUUACUCAAAUAUUAAUGACUUUUGAUUUAGUUAAAUCAGUGAUUUUCUUUAGAAACCCUCUUAGAAACCUUGGAUAAUCAUGGUCUGAUUAUCCACAGAAACUCAUUUGUGUUUCUUAAGGAUUAUUUAAGUAUAUAAAUGUACUUUAGUGGACUUAAGAACAUUACUUAAGAAACUAUUCGAUUUUGUGCCUCCAAUGGUAGUUUCUUAGUUAAGGAUUCUUAAAAAGAAAAAAAAUCCUAACCACAACCUAACUCAAACAAGCAUAUUCAAACCAAGCAAACAAUCCUAACAUUUUGACAUUAAUCUAACAUAUUUAUUACCAAGGAAGAGUUGAAGAAGAGUAAAGUUUUGGUCGAUUACCUCAACUCUCAAACUCGGUGUAGUC